UCCUCUGUAGGAAAGUGCUGGGUAAAAUGCCUCUCACUGAUUGGCCUCGCUGCGCUGGUAUGGCUCCCUCCCUGGACAAUGGUGCGUCUUCUAGGUCUGGCUCUGGGCCCUUUAUUCGGAAAAACGAGCGUAAGACUGGCUCUGAGAACAAAGCUGGACAGCUUGCUCAUCUUUCGAGCAGCUGUGCCGUGGAGAGAUGAAGGUGGGGCGCACAGGGCCCUGGCAGGGGCUGUGCCCCCUGUAAUGGCUGAGAAAAUAUUUCCAGACCCUGGAGUCUUUGCCUUUUCUCUUUUCUCCACAUUAGCACCACAUGACAGUGACAGCGAGGCCUCAGUGAUUUUGGCUUGAAGGUCUUGUGAUCUCCGACAAGUUGAAUGAAAAGAUGUCUUAAAUUGGUCCAAUCUAAAGAGUGCCUCCUUUUUCUCCAAACCAUGAAAAAAGGCAGAAAAGAUGGAUGAUAGGCCUCUCUGCCUGUCUCUGUCUCUCUCUCUCUCACGCACCUGUGUACACAUUUAUUCGUUCAAAUACAAUUUCACUCUAGCAUCUAGGCAAAAACAACUCAUCAACCUUUUGAAAGCAACAGCUGAGUCACUAAUACCAUUAGCAACCAGAAUUUGCACUUUCGGUGUGCCGGCAUUCUUCUGAGUGUUUUACCUAGAGUCACUGACUCAAUUCUCACUGAAACCCUAGGAGGGAGGCAGUG
rnacentral:lncRNA from 1 species